CUCGGUGAUAGCUGGUUCUCCCCGAAAGCUAUUUAGGUAGCGCCUCGGACGAAUACCAUUGGGGGUAGAGCACUGUUUCGGCUAGGGGGUCAUCCCGACUUACCAAACCGAUGCAAACUCCGAAUACCGUUAAGUGAUAUCCGGGAGACAGACGGUGGGUGCUAAUGUCCAUCGUCAAGAGGGAAACAACCCAGACCGCCAGCUAAGGCCCCAAAAUUCUAGUUAAGUGGGAAACGAUGUGGGAAGGCAUAGACAGCUAGGAGGUUGGCUUAGAAGCAGCCACCCUUUAAAGAAAGCGUAAUAGCUCACUAGUCGAGUCGGCCUGCGCGGAAGAUGUAACGGGGCUAAAACUAUAAGCCGAAGCUGCGGAUGCAUAUUUUAUAUGCGUGGUAGGGGAGCGUUCUGUAAGUCUGCGAAGGUGAGUUGAGAAGCUUGCUGGAGAUAUCAGAAGUGCGAAUGCUGACGUGAGUAACGACAAGGGGAGUGAAAAACUUCCCCGCCGGAAGACCAAGGGUUCCUGCUCAACGUUAAUCGGAGCAGGGUGAGUCGACCCCUAAGGCGAGGCUGAGAAGCGUAGUCGAUGGGAAACAGGUUAAUAUUCCUGUACCUUUUACUGAUGCGAUGGAGGGACGGAGAAGGCUAUAUCUACCAGCGAUUGGUUGUGCUGGGGAAAGGUUGUAGGCAUGUGUCUUAGGCAAAUCCGGGACACUCUAUGCUGAGAACUGAGACGAACCUGUACUUGUACGGGGAAGUGAUAGAUGCCAUGCUUCCAAGAAAAGCUCCUAAGCUUCAGUCAGUAAGGGAUCGUACCCGAAACCGACACAGGUGGUCAGGUCGAGAAGACCAAGGCGCUUGAGAGAACUCUGGUGAAGGAACUAGGCAAAAUAGUACCGUAACUUCGGGAGAAGGUACGCUGUUGAGGGUUAAGGAUUUACUCCGUAAGCCUUCGGCAGCCUCAGAAACUAGGCCGCUGCAACUGUUUAUUAAAAACAUAGCACUCUGCAAACACGAAAGUGGACGUAUAGGGUGUGAUGCCUGCCCGGUGCUGGAAGGUUAAUUGAUGGGGUUAGCGUAAGCGAAGCUCUUGAUCGAAGCCCCAGUAAACGGCGGCCGUAACUAUAACGGUCCUAAGGUAGCGAAAUUCCUUGUCGGGUAAGUUCCGACCUGCACGAAUGGCAUAAUGAUGGCGGCGCUGUCUCCACCAGAGACUCAGUGAAAUCGAAAUCGCGGUGAAGAUGCCGUGUACCCGCGGCUAGA
rnacentral:rRNA from 1 species